rnacentral:rRNA from 1 species
ACGCUGGCGGCAGGCCUAACACAUGCAAGUCGAGCGGUAGAGAGAAGCUUGCUUCUCUUGAGAGCGGCGGACGGGUGAGUAAUGCCUAGGAAUCUGCCUGGUAGUGGGGGAUAACGUCCGGAAACGGACGCUAAUACCGCAUACGUCCUACGGGAGAAAGCAGGGGACCUUCGGGCCUUGCGCUAUCAGAUGAGCCUAGGUCGGAUUAGCUAGUUGGUGGGGUAAUGGCUCACCAAGGCGACGAUCCGUAACUGGUCUGAGAGGAUGAUCAGUCACACUGGAACUGAGACACGGUCCAGACUCCUACGGGAGGCAGCAGUGGGGAAUAUUGGACAAUGGGCGAAAGCCUGAUCCAGCCAUGCCGCGUGUGUGAAGAAGGUCUUCGGAUUGUAAAGCACUUUAAGUUGGGAGGAAGGGCAGUAAAUUAAUACUUUGCUGUUUUGACGUUACCGACAGAAUAAGCACCGGCUAACUCUGUGCCAGCAGCCGCGGUAAUACAGAGGGUGCAAGCGUUAAUCGGAAUUACUGGGCGUAAAGCGCGCGUAGGUGGUUCGUUAAGUUGGAUGUGAAAUCCCCGGGCUCAACCUGGGAACUGCAUUCGAAACUGACGAGCUAGAGUAUGGUAGAGGGUGGUGGAAUUUCCUGUGUAGCGGUGAAAUGCGUAGAUAUAGGAAGGAACACCAGUGGCGAAGGCGACCACCUGGACUAAUACUGACACUGAGGUGCGAAAGCGUGGGGAGCAAAC